UUUGUUCAACGAUUAAAGUCCUA
rnacentral:piRNA from 1 species